rnacentral:rRNA from 1 species
UACGUAGGGUGCAAGCGUUGUCCGGAAUUAUUGGGCGUAAAGGGCUCGUAGGCGGUCCAUCGCGUCGGGAGUGAAAAGCUGGGGCUUAACCCCAGUCCUGCUUCCGAUACGGGUGGACUAGAGGUAGGUAGGGGAGAUCGGAAUUCCUGGUGUAGCGGUGAAAUGCGCAGAUAUCAGGAGGAACACCGGUGGCGAAGGCUGAUCUCUGGGCCUUACCUGACGCUCAGGUGCGAAAGCUAGGGGAGCGAACAGG